rnacentral:rRNA from 1 species
GAUGAACGCUAGCGGCAGGCCUAAUACAUGCAAGUCGAGGGAGAAUGUUGGAUUCGUCUGACAUGAAACCGGCGCACGGGUGCGUAACACGUAUGCAACCUACCUUUAACUGGGGUAUAGCUCAGAGAAAUCUGAAUUAAUCCCCCAUAAGACUACGACAUGGCAUCAUGAUGUAGUUAAAGCUCCGGCGGUUAAGGAUGGGCAUGCGGUACAUUAGCUAGUUGGUGAGGUAAUGGCUCACCAAGGCUACGAUGUAUAGGGGGUCUGAGAGGAUGAUCCCCCACACUGGUUCUGAGACACGGACCAGACUCCUACGGGAGGCAGCAGUAGGGAAUAUUGGUCAAUGGACGCAAGUCUGAACCAGCCAUGCCGCGUGAAGGAUGAAGGCCCUAUGGGUCGUAAACUUCUUUUAUUAGGGAAGAAAAAACGGGAUGCGUCCUGUACUGACGGUACUUAAUGAAUAAGGAUCGGCUAACUCCGUGCCAGCAGCCGCAGUAA